GACGAACGCUGGCGGCGUGCUUAACACAUGCAAGUCGAACGGAAAGGCCUGUCCUUCCUUGUGUUGGACGGGUACUCGAGUGGCGAACGGGUGAGUAACACGUGAGUGAUCUGCCCCCAACUUGGGUAUAAGCCUGGGAAACUGGGUCUAAUUCCCGAUAGGACUGCAGGGUGGUGCCUGUGGUGGAAAACGAUUUUCUAGUGGUUGGGGAUGAGCUCGCGGCCUAUCAGCUUGUUGGUGGGGUAAUGGCCUACCAAGGCGGCGACGGGUAGCCGGCCUGAGAGGGUGGACGGCAACAUUGGGACUGAGAUACGGCCCAGACUCCUACGGGAGGCAGCAGUGGGGAAUAGUGCACAAUGGGCGGAAGCCUGAUGCAGCGACGCCGCGUGGGGGAUGACGGCCUUCGGGUUGUAAACUCCUUUCGACCGCGAGGAAGCCGCCUGGUUGGAAGGGUGGUGACGGUAGUGGUAGAAGAAGCACCGGCUAACUACGUG
rnacentral:rRNA from 1 species